UAUAUGGCCUUUGGAUUGGACUGCGUCCGAUCAGGCUGUUGGUGAGGUAAUGGCCCACCAAACCUGUAACCGGUACGGGCUCUGAGAGGAGGAGCCCGGAGAUGGGUACUGAGAAAAGGACCCAGGCCCUAUGGGGCGCAGCAGGCGCGAAACCUCUGCAAUAGGCGAAAGCCUGACAGGGUUACUCUGAGUGACUUUCGCUAAGAAAGUCUUUUGACACCUCUAAAAAUGGUGUAGAAUAAGGGGUGGGCAAGUCUGGUGUCAGCCGCCGCGGUAAUACCAGCACCCCGAGUGGUCGGGACGAUUAUUGGGCCUAAAGCAUCCGUAGCCGGUUUUACAAGUCCUCCGUUAAAUCCAGCUGCUUAACAGAUGGGCUGCGGAGGAUACUAUAAGACUAGGAGGCAGGAGAGGCAAGCGGUACUCAGUGGGUAGGGGUAAAAUCCGUUGAUCCAUUGAAGACCACCAGUGGCGAAGGCGGCUUGCCAGAAUGCGCUCGACGGUGAGGGAUGAAAGCUGGGGGAGCAAACCGGAUUAGAUACCCGGGUAGUCCCAGCUGUAAACGAUGCAGACUCGGUGAUGGACUAGCUUUAUGCUAGUCCAGUGCCGCAGGGAAGCCGUUAAGUCUGCCGCCUGGGUAGUACGGUCGCAAGACUGAAACUUAAAGGAAUUGGCGGGG
rnacentral:rRNA from 1 species